rnacentral:misc_RNA from 1 species
GAUGAAGAACGUAGCGAAAUGCGAUAAGUAAUGCGAAUUGCAGAAUUCAGUGAGUCAUCGAAUCUUUGAACGCACAUUGCGCCCUGUGGUAUUCCGCAGGGCAUGCCUGUUCGAGCGUCAUUUCAACCCUCAAGCCCCGCUUGGUGUUGGGCCCCGCCCGCUGUGGCCGGCCCUAAAGACAGUGGCGGCGCCGCCUGGCCCUCAGCGUAGUACAUCUCUCGCUCCAGGGUCCGGUGGCCGCCUGCCAGAACCCCCCAACUCUGUGGUUGACCUCGGAUCAGGUAGGGAUACCCGCUGAACUUAAGCAUAUCAAUAAGGGAGGA